UACGUAGGGUGCAAGCGUUGUCCGGAAUUAUUGGGCGUAAAGAGCUCGUAGGCGGUCUGUCGCGUCGGCUGUGAAAUCCCGAGGCUCAACCUCGGGUCUGCAGUCGAUACGGGCAAACUUGAGUGUUGCAGGGGAGACUGGAAUUCCUGGUGUAGCGGUGAAAUGCGCAGAUAUCAGGAGGAACACCCGUGGCGAAGGCGGCUCUCUGGAUCGGCCCUGACGCUGAGGCGCGAAAGCGUGGGGAGCGAACGGG
rnacentral:rRNA from 1 species